rnacentral:rRNA from 1 species
GACGAACCGUGCGAACGUUGUUCGGAAUCACUGGGCUUAAAGGGCGCGUAGGCGGGCCUCCCAGUCCGGGGUGAAAGCUUUCGGCUUAACCGGAAAAGUGCCUUGGAUACUGGAGGUCUGGAGGGAGGUAGGGGCAAUCGGAACUUCCGGUGGAGCGGUGAAAUGCGUUGAUAUCGGAAGGAACGCCGGUGGCGAAAGCGGAUUGCUGGACCUUUUCUGACGCUGAGGCGCGAAAGCCAGGGGAGCAAACGGG